GGGUUUAUAGCUCAACGGAUAGAGCAGUGGUCUUCUAAAUCACUAAUCUAGGUUCGAUUCCUAGUAAACCCA
rnacentral:tRNA from 1 species